CCAUCAAUACUGAGUCAAAUCAACUCAGAUUUUGAUCACAGAUAGAUCUAUUUUAUAUUGAUAAUCUGUUAAAAUCUUAUUCAAUUUGAUCUGCAGUUGCUUGAGUUAUUCCUGAUUCUCUGUUUGGGAAAACUCUGAUCGAUUUUCGUGUUCCAACGCACCCGUGCCAAGUCCCCCCUGAGUACCUCCCAGCCACACGUGCCUGCCAAGUAACAAAAAGAUACCUCGGCACAAUUGACUAGUGCAUACCCCAUCAAUUCGAAUCCAUCGUCCCUCAAAUCCCUCAUCGAAUCCCUUCGAAUAACCCCUCCAUUGAUAAGAACAUAAGAUAAAAGUGGAAAUUUCAGUGUUUGAAAGAUAGCUUGGUCCCUGCAAGUAGUUUAUAUAUAUAUUUAUAUAUAUAUAAUCUAUUAUAAAGGAAAAAAGUGCAGGUUUAGCCUGUUGAUUCUUCAUUUGCAUACCCAUUUCUUUGGAAACUCAAUAUUCAACUUAUUGGGAGCUAUUCAGUAGGAUAAAGUGUUUCAAUUUGAAUGAAAGGGAAUUCAUUUAGUAUUGAAAGCUUUUGAUUUUUCAGGAAUAUAAUCUUAAACUGAGGUGGGGCCUAGUUUAAGCAGAAACUUUGAGAAGCUUUUUAAUUAAGAAAAAGACAAAGUUUGAAAGAGAUAGAGUGUUUUCUCUGUUUUAGCUCUGAGUUAAUAAAACAGAGAAUUUCUGCCCAAAAAUUCAUAUUUCUUUUAUCUUAUUCAAAGGC
rnacentral:sRNA from 1 species